UCCCUGGUGGCUCAGAUGGUAAAGCGUCUGCCUACAAUGUGGGAGACCCAGGUUCAAUUCCUGGGUUGGGAA
rnacentral:tRNA from 1 species